GCCGGCGUCGCGGUUGCUCGCGCUCUGGGCGCUGGCGGCUGUGGCUCUACCCGGCUCCGGGGCGGAGGGCGACGGCGGGUGGUGAGCGGCCCGGGAGGGGCCGGGCGGUGGGGUCACGUGCGGCGGGCGGGGCGCGGGCUGACCCAGCUGUGCCCGCAGGCGCCCGGGCGGGCCGGGGGCCGUGGCGGAGGAGGAGCGCUGCACGGUGGAGCGUCGGGCCGACCUCACCUACGCGGAGUUCGUGCAGCAGUACGUGCGCCCCUGAUCGCGGAGGUCGCGUCCUGUUCACCGGCCCGUCUGCCCCGACCGCCCAAGGCCGCCUUCCCCUGACCUCGCGCGCACGCGUGGGGCUGGGGCGGCGAGGCUGGCGGUCCGGCCUGGCCGCGACUCUGCCCUUCUUUCCAGGUACGCCUUCGUCAGGCCCGUCAUCCUGCAGGGACUCACGGACAACUCGAGGUUCCGGGCCCUGUGCUCCCGCGACAGGUUGCUGGCUUCGUUUGGGGACAGAGUGGUCCGGCUGAGCACCGCCAACACCUACUCCUACCACAAAGUGGACUUGCCCUUCCAGGAGUAUGUGGAGCAGCUGCUGCACCCCCAGGACCCCACCUCCCUGGGCAAUGACACCCUGUACUUCUUCGGGGACAACAACUUCACCGAGUGGGCCUCUCUCUUUCGGCACUACUCCCCACCCCCAUUUGGCCUGCUGGGAACCGCUCCAG
rnacentral:lncRNA from 1 species